UAGGGAAGUUUUCGUUCAAUGGGCGCAAGCCUGAACGAGCAAUGCCGCGUGAACGAGGAAGGUCUUCGGAUCGUAAAGUUCUGUUGAAAGGGAAAAAGAGCGGAGAGAGGAAAUGGUCUCCGAUUGAUAUUACCCUUCGAGGAAGUCACGGCUAACUACGUGCC
rnacentral:rRNA from 1 species